UAUGUACUCCCUUCGUCCCAAAAUUCUUGUCUUAGGUUUGUCUAAAAAUGAAUGUAUCUAAAUACUAAAGCGUGACUAGAUACAUUCAUAACUAGAUAAAUCUAAGACAAGAAUUUUGGGAUGGAGGAAGUAUUAA
rnacentral:pre_miRNA from 1 species